UUUAUAACCUCUUUCUGCAAACGCCUUGGAUUUUCUUUUGGCUUCAUGUUGUUCAUUAGAAUAAUAGCCUUUUCAUCUUAUUUAAAGAACAUCCAAGGUGUUUGUAGAAAAAGGUUUCAAA
rnacentral:pre_miRNA from 1 species